rnacentral:rRNA from 1 species
UAACACGUGAGCAACCUGCCCUUGUGCGGGGGAUAACCAGGGGAAACUCUGGCUAAAACCGCAUGACAUCGCUUUUCCGUAGGGGAAGGUGAUCAAAGCUGCUUUAGGGCAGUGCGCAAGGAGGGGCUCGCGGCGUAUCAGCUAGUUGGUGAGGUAACGGCUCACCAAGGCGAUGACGCGUAGGGGGUCUGAGAGGAUGACCCCCCACAUUGGGACUGAGAUACGGCCCAGACUCC